rnacentral:rRNA from 1 species
GGACGGGUGAGUAACACGUGGGGCAACCUGGCCCUUGAGACUGGGAUAACUUCGGGAAACCGGAGCUAAUACCGGAUAAUAUAAGGAACCUCCUGGUUCCUUAUUGAAAGAUGGUUUCGGCUAUCACUUAAGGAUGGGCCCGCGGCGCAUUAGCUAGUUGGUGAGGUAACGGCUCACCAAGGCGACGAUGCGUAGCCGACCUGAGAGGGUGAUCGGCCACUGGGACUGAGACACGGCCAGACU